AUUGAACGCUGGCGGCAGGCCUAACACAUGCAAGUCGAACGAGUGGCGGACGGGUGAGUAAUGUCUGGGAAACUGCCCGAUGGAGGGGGAUAACUACUGGAAACGGUAGCUAAUACCGCAUACCAUCGGAUGUGCCCAGAUGGGAUUAGCUUGUAGGUGAGGUAACGGCUCACCUAGGCGACGAUCCCUAGCUGGUCUGAGAGGAUGACCAGCCAAAAUGGAAUUGAGACACGGUACAGACGCCGACGGUAGGCAGCAGGGGGGAAUAUUGCACAAUGGGCGCAAGCCUGAUGUAGCAAUGCCGAGUGUAUGAAGAAGGCCUUCAGGUUGUAAAGUACUGUCAGCGGGGAGGCGUUACCCGCAGAAGAAGCACCGGCUAACUCCGUGCCAGCAGCCGCGGGAAUAC
rnacentral:rRNA from 1 species